ACUGAUGCCGCGGCGGGCCGCCGCCGAUCAGAGGUCGGCGGCGAGCCGGCGCAGGAUGUCGGCCGCGGGUUCGGCCGUCGCGUGGCGGUACC
rnacentral:tRNA from 1 species